CUGCUGAGAAGGACUGCAUGGCAUGCACCGUCAUAAAGGAGUGCAGGACCUCGUUCGGUUGUCAUGAACAAUGGUUUACCAGUCAGCGAGGGUCAUCAUUCAAGGAGGUGUUCUUGGUGGGAGAGGCAAGCUGGACCUUCAGCAAUGCAUGUAGUUUUUCUCUCAACGCAUGGUUGAGAAAGGAUAAAACAGUGCCUUGAGUUUCUCUUGUCAUGCUGUUUUAGGAGGCCCAUGUUUCAUUUUCUAAUGGAGGGUGAAUUCACUGUUGUCCUGCUCUAAGGAAAGAGAAUCAUGCUUCUUUAAAAAUAAUCAGUGUAUCUGUGAUUUACGAUUUGAAUAGCCAUGUCCUCUCCUGGAUUCCUGACAUGAGGGGGCAAACAACUCAAAAUUUACUGGCCUACAUUUUUUAUACCACUACGUUUCUUCACGAAUGAAGAUAUGAGAACACACGGGUGAAAUCCCUGACAAAAUGCCCCAUAACCAAGCUUUGCUACACAAAUCCAUCUCUGAGAAGCAGGAACUCUUUAUCACCUGAGAGAGUAAGGGAGGCAUGUCCAAACUGUAUGAUAAGUACCCUGUCUGGACGUGACUCCAUUCAUGGAAGAACUUCUGUCUCAGCCUACUGGACGGAUUCCCCAUGAGUAGAAUGUGGCCUGGAAAUAAGCUGCUAACCCAAAAACAAAUGGCUGUAAUGACGUGAAUGGCCACGAAUCCUCUGGAAUUGAAACAUUUUCCCAAACGCUGUUCCUGGUUGACUUGUGGUGAGCAUAUGACUGUUUUUGCUACAUAUACGGAAUUAGCAGAUACUUUUGUUGGGCCAAUGAUGAGUACUUUAUAUUGCCCUGAGGAGUGGUGAUGACUUAAAUAUCAAGUAUAAUGGCAUGAUGCUGAGGCCCAGCCUUGA